rnacentral:rRNA from 1 species
AGGGAUCAUUACCGAGUUUACAACUCCCAAACCCAAUGUGAACGUUACCAAACUGUUGCCUCGGCGGGAUCUCUGCCCCGGGUGCGUUGCAGCCCCGGACCAAGGCGCCCGCCGGAGGACCAACCAAAACUCUUAUUGUAUACCCCCUCGCGGGUUUUUUUAUAAUCUGAGCCUUCUCGGCGCCUCUCGUAGGCGUUUCGAAAAUGAAUCAAAACUUUCAACAACGGAUCUCUUGGUUCUGGCAUCGAUGAAGAACGCAGCGAAAUGCGAUAAGUAAUGUGAAUUGCAGAAUUCAGUGAAUCAUCGAAUCUUUGAACGCACAUUGCGCCCGCCAGUAUUCUGGCGGGCAUGCCUGUCCGAGCGUCAUUUCAACCCUCGAACCCCUCCGGGGGGUCGGCGUUGGGGAUCGGCCCUCCCUUAGCGGGGUGGCCGUCUCCGAAAUACAGUGGCGGUCUCGCCGCAGCCUCUCCUGCGCAGUAGUUUGCACACUCGCAUCGGGAGCGCGGCGCGUCCACAGCCGUUAAACACCCAACUUCUGAAAUGUUGACCUCGGAUCAGGUAGGAAUACCCGCUGAACUUAA